rnacentral:rRNA from 1 species
CGCACUCUUCGGAGUGAGCGGCGGACGGGUUAGUAACGCGUGGGAAUAUACCCUUUUCUACGGAAUAGCCUCGGGAAACUGAGAGUAAUACCGUAUACGCCCUUCGGGGGAAAGAUUUAUCGGUGAAGGAUUAGCCCGCGUCUGAUUAGAUAGUUGGUGGGGUAAUGGCCUACCAAGUCUACGAUCAGUAGCUGGUUUGAGAGGAUGAUCAGCAACACUGGGACUGAGACACGGCCCAG